GAUGAACGCUGGCGGCGUGCUUAACACAUGCAAGUCGAACGGAAAGGCCGAAGCUUGCUUCGGUACUCGAGUGGCGAACGGGUGAGUAACACGUGGGUGAUCUGCCCUGUACUUCGGGAUAAGCUUGGGAAACUGGGUCUAAUACCGGAUAUGACAAUCUCUUGGAUGGGGUUGUGGAAAGCUUUUGCGGUAUGGGAUGAGCUCGCGGCCUAUCAGCUUGUUGGUGGGGUAAUGGCCUACCAAGGCGUCGACGGGUAGCCGGCCUGAGAGGGUGUACGGCCACAUUGGGACUGAGAUACGGCCCAGACUCCUACGGGAGGCAGCAGUGGGGAAUAUUGCACAAUGGGCGCAAGCCUGAUGCAGCGACGCCGCGUGGGGGAUGACGGCCUUCAGGUUGUAAACUCCUUUCGCAACCGACGAAGCUUUUUGUGACGGUAGGUUGAGAAGAAGCACCGGCUAACUACGUG
rnacentral:rRNA from 1 species